GUUUUUUGUUUUUUUGUUUUCCUUCUGGUUUUUCAUUCUUUUUCUUGUUGUUGGUUGUUGUUUCCUUGCCCAGUGCUCUAUUUUUGGUGGGAUGGUUGAAAAAAAAAGGAAGGAAAGAGAGGAGGGGGAAGGAAAGCCUGUAAAGAAGAGAAGAACAAAGGA
rnacentral:ribozyme from 13 species